rnacentral:rRNA from 1 species
GUGCCAGCCGCCGCGGUACUACGGAGGGUGCAAGCGUUGUCCGGAAUCACUGGGCGUAAAGGGUGCGCAGGCGGGGCAGCAAGUCGGAGGUGAAAGCCCGUGGCUCAACCACGGAAGUGCCUUCGAAACUGUUGCUCUUGAGUCACGGAGAGGUUGCCGGAAUUCGUGGUGUAGCGGUGAAAUGCGUAGAUAUCACAAGGAACACCAGAGGCGAAAGCGGGCAACUGGACGGGUACUGACGCUCAGGCACGAAAGCGCGGGGAGCAAACAGGAUUAGAAACUCGAGUAGUCC